UAGGCGCGCUAUCAUGAAUACUCCCGAACUCCCGAAGUCGAAGAGAUGAUUCAACAAAGGAUGGAAGUCCAGAUUCCAUCUCGGGCGUUCUUUGAGAUUUUCAAGGUCAAAAUGAAAGAAACUGAGAAUUUCCUCAACAUUCUGCAGCACAGGGCAGAUCGUGAAAAAGCUCAGUCUACAGUUCUUGAAGAUUAUCGCGGAAAAAGUGUUCCUAUAUUUCAGGAAGGAAAAGAGAUAUCGUCGUACAUGAGAGUUUUCAAUGCGCCUCUAAAGGAGGAGUUGUUAGAGGCUUUUGAUCACAGGGAGGCAGUAUCCAGCAGUUUUACUGAUGAUGAGAACCCAAUCAGUCUACUCCAAGAAUGGAUAGACAAAAAUGGCAAUGAAGGGCAAGCCCUGCUUAGAUUAGCCAAGAAAACUGUAAAAAAAUAUGAAGCUCUCGUCAUUCAAGUCAAAGCAGAGAGAAAGAUGCUCCAGAAAAGAAUUGAAGAGCUCGACCUGAACUUGACCUGCCAGGGGAAGUAUGGCGGCUCCCUACAGCACGGUGACAGGAAAGAGUCCACAGCAGCCAAAAAAAGGAGGAUGCAGUUUGAGUUAGAGGAAGACAGAUUGAGAUCUAGUAUUGAUAAGUCUUUCAAUACAUACAAAACAUUGAUCUCCGAGGAAGUUGACAGUCGGUCUAAUUUCCUAAUGACCAUGAGUGCAAUACGUGAUCAGUGCAGUGUCUUGGAGGGCAGGCGUCUGGCUGUUGUUGUUGAGGUUUACAACAGAUACAUCUCCUUAAUCGAGUUAGCAGAACCUCUAAGUCCUAGGAGAGAGCUAGUUCUUCACCAGAUGCGAAGUAUAGCAUCGGGAAUGAUUGAAGUCCGAAUGAACACGUACAAACAGUGGUCAAAGGAGAAGACCAGAUAUUACAACUUCGAGUUGUUCACGGAUGACUGGUCACAUUAUGGAUUAGGCAUUGUAACCAACAAUGUACCAGAAGUAGUGAUUCCAGCCAAUCUCCAGGUGAUGUCCGAGUCUGACAAGACAGACUCAAGUUAUGACGAAAGAUCUGGCGUCUCACAUAAAGACAAUCCUGACACCUCUGAACCUUGUGAUGAUUUCCACCUCACAGAAGUCUCUGUUCAGUCAAAUCAGGGCACAAAAUAUGGAAGUCAGCGACCAGACCGGUCAAGGAGAGAUAAGCAAUCGCCUCAACAGAAGGAAGGUGAAAACAUAGAGGAUCCUGGCCAGGAUCAAGGGGCUGUACCCAAGGUUAGUCGUAAUCCUGGAUCAAGUGUCAAAGGUCAAAUCACUUCUCCUGAUGAGAAUGUAGAUACACCAGCAUUGACCUGGAACAAAACCAAUCGUAGACAAGUGGGACCCAACUCUAAAAGUCUAAAUCCACCCCCAAAAUCUUCUACAGAUGGUUGGCGGGCCACACAAACCCCUCUUGGAAAUUUAACACUGCCAGUUAAGAGCGAUAGCCAGACCAAAAGGAGAAAUGUUAAUUCCCAGAGUGAUGGCUUAACACCUGUCUGUUGUGGGAAUGAAUUAACGAGGGACAGGUCACAGCAAUCUCCUGUAGAAGAAACCAAUGUAAGGUCAGCAAACGACACAUGGAACGGGACAAAGUCCUGCCCCUCAGAAAAUGCAGGAGAGCAUUUACAAGUGCAGACAUUUACUGGCAAAGACCAUCCUUAUUAUACACCAGGAGACCCGCUGGACCUGGAAACUCUGGUUUUGCCCGAGGAUAAGACCGUGCGGCCAGAGCCCCCUUUCCAGCCAAUGAUCAACAACUGGAUGGACCCUGACAUUGAUCCACUGGAUGCCAACUCUUCAGACCAUAAUCUGUUGUCCCAGUUCCUGACCAGAACCAAAUCUAAAUUCAGGAAAUCCAAAAAGGUCAAGAAACCAAAAAGUCCAGAGAUUAUGGACUCGGGUCCAAUUCCUUUUGAUUUUGGAUGUCAAUUUGUGGAUGAGGUUUCCACAGUCAUUGAACCAUAUGAAUUAAUAUCCAAGGGGGCUCGGGCACCACCCUCUACCCCUGGACCAAGUCAGCUAGUGGAGAAAUCAAAGAACACUGCACAAAGUGGAUCUGACUCUAGCACAAAUGCCAACCGAGAACCACAUCAAGCAAAGCACCAUUCACUGAGGGUCAUCAAAUUGUGCAGCAUUGAUUCCUACGAGGCAAGAAAUGAGGAUGAAAUCAGCUUUGUAUCAGGCCAAACAGUGAAAAUGAUCAAUAAUGCAAAUGCUGAAGGAAUGGCAUAUGGCUAUACUCGAUCCAGCCGUAUGAAGAAACGUGAAUAUGGAUUCUUUCCUGUCAGCCAUGUUGUUCGUGUCGUAGAAGACCGGAACCGAAGCCUCAUGAAGAAAGUCAGUGGAUUUUUGAAGAAGCGCUAAACUUUUUGAAAUGUGAGUCUUAUGUAAAUCUGCUUCAAAUUGUUUCAUUGAAAACCACCGCAGAUUUUACAUUUGAGUGUACAAAAAAAAUAAUGGAAAACAGACAAGGUGCUUACCAUGGUUUAUCAUUACAUAGAAUUAAUCAAUGUAUCUUAAAGUAGGUAACGUAUGGAAUAGCCAUAUUUUACGAAAAUACUGUUAUGUUUGAGUAUCAACAUUUGAUAAUAGUUUAUGCAUUGCAAAAACAUCGCAACUCAUUAACUAGAGAAUGCAUAAUAUAAUCAACUUUCGUCACAAUAUAGAUAAAAUUGUUACUAUCUUUAAAAAUCAGUUCACAUUGUAUAACAACAAGCAAUGUCUUGUAGAUUUUCCAAGCUUUUAUUAAUAAUGGAUUAAUUUUUUAAUAAUGCCAUGAAAAAGCACCAAAAAUAUUGUAAAACCUAAAAGUGCAAAAAUAGGAUAACCUUGGGUUAUGGAUUAGUAUCGGAUAGCAGUGAGUUUCAACAACCCAAACGGGAAGUGCUUACUGUAGCUACUCGUGUCAACUCUAAAGAGUGAUGGCAAAUAGAGUGUAGAUCAAUGCUACUUGAUGCUGUUGUAUCACAAAGAUACCGUCAGCUACAAGUACCAACAUAGAUAGUGAUGAUUAUGAAUUGCAUGUAAAUCGCAAUUAGUUUCAACAUCUCAAAGAGGAAUGGAUAUUUAAGCCACCCGAGUCAUCUUAGAAGAAAAGAACUAACUUUUGAUACCAAAACGCAUGUCAAGUUAGUUCAACGUCUUUUUUAAUUCAACUCCAUGUGCGUUGUUAUGUACAUUGUGUUCAGAGUAGAAAACACCAGUAACUUGGCCGGUUAUGUAGGCUUACAACAGGCUCAUAGGUUGCUUUAACAUCUACAAACUAGUUAUUGAUAUAACUUGUAACAAUGUAUGUACCAACGUACCAAAAUGGAUAGUGAUGAUUGCUAAGAAUAGCUAUUAAAUCAUCCCAAUUUUUUCAACAACACAAAGAGGAAUGGAUAAUUAAACAACCCGAGUCAUCUUUAAAGAAUGGAAAUAAUGUUGAUACCCCAACAUCUAUCAAUAAUUCCAACGUCUAUUUAAAUAAACAUCGUUGUUCACCAAGCAAGGAAUCUAUGUCUGAAUCGGUUUGUUAGUGAUCCAACUUAUAACAAUACCGAGUCGAAAAAGCAACACAAAGAAAAUACCAAAAAUAUUGUAAAAACUAAAAGUGCAAAAAUAGGAUAACCUUGGGUUAUGGAUUAGUAUCGGAUAGCAGUGAGUUUCAACAACCCAAACGGGAAGUGCUUACUGUAGCUACUCGUGUCAACUCUAAAGAGUGAUGGCAAAUAGAGUGUAGAUCAAUGCUACUUGAUGCUAUUGUAUCACAAAGAUACCGUCAGCUACAAGUACCAAAAUAGAUAGUGAUGAUUAUGAAUUGCUUGUUAUUCGCAAUUAGUUUCAAUAUCUCAAAGAGGACUUCAUAUUUAAGCCACUGGAAUCAACUUAAAAGAAAAGAACUAAAUUGUGAUAACGAAACACAUGUCAAGUUAGUUCAACGUCUUUUUUAAUUCAACUCCUUGUGCGUUGUUAUGUACAUUGUGUUCAGAGUAGAAAACACCAGUAGCUUGGCCGGUUAUGUAGGCUUACAACAGCCUUAUAGGUUGGUUUAACAUCUACUAACUAGUUAUUGAUAUAACUUGUAACAAUGUAUGUACCAACGUACCAAAAUGGAUAGUGAUGAUUGCUAAGAAUUGCUAUUAAAUCACAUUUUAUUUCAACAACACAAAGGGGAAUGCAUAAUUUAACAAUCCGAGUCAACUUGAAAGAAUGGAAAUAAUGUUGAUACCCUAACACCUAUCAAUAAUUCCAACGUCUAUUUAAAUAAACAUCGUUGUUCACCAAGCAAGGAAUAUAUGUCUAAAUCGGUUUGUUGGUGAUCCAACUUAUAACAAUACCGAGUGGAAAAAGCAAUACAAAGAAAAUACAAAAAAAAUAUUGUAAAAACUAAAAGUGCAAAAAUAGGAUAACCUUGGGUUAUGGAUUAGUAUCGGAUAGCAGUGAGUUUCAACAACCCAAACGGGAAGUGCUUACUGUAGCUACUCGUGUCAACUCUAAAGAGAGAUGGCAAAUAGAGUGUAGAUCAAUGCUACUUGAUGCUGAUGUAUCACAAAGAUACCGUCAGCUACAAGUACCAAAAUAGAUAGUGAUGAUUAUGAAUUGCUUGUAAAUUGCAAUUAGUUUCAAUAUCUCAAAGAGGAAUGCAUUAUACUUUAUUUUCGUAGGUCAGCUUUAUAGAAUGUCGGGAAAUUAAUAUUAUUUCAUAACAAAAUUAUAGUCAGUCAUAUAGUACCAAAUUGGAUAGUGAUCAUUGUUAAGAAUUGCUAUAAAAUUGCCCUUUGUUUCAACAUCUCAAUGGGGAAUGCAUAUUUUAGCCUACAUGUAUGUAUCAUCGUAGGUCAACUUUAAAGAAUGUCGGGAAAACAAUAGUAGGUCAAUUGAUGUUAUUUCAUAACGAAGAUAUAGGCAGUACGAAAAUGGAUAGUGAUGAUUGUUAAGAAUUACUAUUCAAUCGCCUUUUGUUUCAACAUCUCAAAGGUGAAUUACUAUUCGCCGCUUUAUCCUCGUAGGUCAUUUUUAAAGAAAUGUCGGGAAAUUAAUAGUAUUUGUAACAAAGAUGAAGUCAGUAUGUAGACUAGCGUUUGCUAAAUUAUUUUCUGCGUACUAAAAUUCAACUUAAUGUGUAGUUAGUUCCAACCUUCAUUGAAAGAUAUGAAUAUCAGAAUCAUAUUGUUUUUUGUCAGAAUCUGGUAAUUUAAACCCUAUCCAAAUGUUGUUUUACUAACAUUUCUUGUAAAUGAUAAUACAAUGUGAACAAUAAUAACGUAACAAUGAAAUUCCAAAUAUGUUUUCAAAUUAAUCAGAACAAAAUGGAUAUUAAUAUUGGCUUUGAACAAAAUGGAUAUUAAUAUUGGCUUUGAACAAAAUGGAUAUUAAUAUUGGCUUUGAACUGAUAUCACGUCACAAUUGAUUUCAUAAAUGUAAAAGGCAUGCAUAUUUUGCCUACCUCAGUCAACUUUAAAGAAUAUCAUCAAAUGUUGAUAACCGAACAGUCGUUAUCUUGUUGUAAAAAUUGAUUAGGAAAAAAAUAGUAAAAAUGAAAAUCGAAAAAGAUUGCAAUGUCAGAGAAACGGUUUCUUAAACAGCAAAUACACAUCGCACUGUAUCUUUUACAGGCUAAAGCUGAUUUUAGUCAUUUAUAGAUAACAGCAGAACUAAAUAUUUCCAUGUUGUACAAACAAGGUACUUUAUCUAAAUUGAAUCAUAUAUAUUGUUGUAAUUUAAACAAUGAAUACAAUGUUUUAAAUUUGC